AUGAACGUCAGUGUUCAAGGUCCCAAACUCAGAGUUGCCCUCCUGCCGCCCAAGGUUUUCUCUUGUUAUCAGCAGCUUCUAUUUGCAAAACCCCAACACAACUUUACUUUAUUUCUUCAACUUCCAAUGUGCAAGCAUGUGACUGAAGAGAACAUAAAGCAACAAGACCAAACCACCAACCCCAGCCUGGUGUGAGCUGCAGUUUCAGGUAGGAGUGUCCGAAUGUGCAGCAGACAAAGGUCCACAGAUAUCACCUGACAAACUCCUCCGACUCCCAGCCCCUGAGAACCCGAGCAGCAUCUCGCCCACCUCACCACAUCUCACCAGUCAGUGUAGGCCAUUGUGUGCAGCACCUUCUCCAGUGGGGCUUUCACUCCCAUAUGAGAGCCAGGACUUUCCUGUUGGAGGAGCACACACUGUUUUUCUUAUUAGUUUGUUCUGUUGUGUGCAUCCAAGGUAUAUAUUGGUGUGUCUGUAUUUUAUUCAACAAAAUA